rnacentral:lncRNA from 1 species
AAAGAAGUUUCCUUGACAAAGGAUGAGGACUACACUUAUCUGCAGAUCAGAUGUAAGCUCUCAGCUACUGCUCCAGCAUCAUGCCUGCCUGUCUGCCACCAUGCUCCCCACCAUUAUGGUCAUGGACUCACCCUCUGAAACUCUGUGGAGCCCUGAGGCAUUCUCUGGAAACACGUGCACUAUAAACUCCUUAGAGGCUGCCUACCAGGAAAUCCACCCUUCAUGCAAGGGUCACACAUGAAAAUGCCUUCAGGAGAUUGGGGAGCCGGCUGAAUUUAAUACAUCCUCAAGGCACUGGGGAUGAGGUGAAUUGGAGAUACUCUGUCUUGUGUGAAGUUUUGAAACGCAGUGAACAACCUUGUACUUCAGGCAAGGUUUAUAAGUCCACUUAGUCUGGAAGUCCACGCAUGCCCUGUACCCAGGGGAUUCUUUCUCUUCCGUAAUUACUAUGCUAGGACUUGCCUUUGGUGAGAUUGGUCAGUGAAGGUGAAUCCCUAAAAGCAUCAGUAACUCCUGGCCACAGUUGCCACAGGAGGUUCUGAGCCUGCCAGAGUCAAACCCAGAUGCUGAACGACAAGGCCUCACUAAGGAAGUGCCUGUCAUGAGGCCAGCCUCCUCUUCUUCUAUAUAGCCUCAAUCCCAUAAAACUUUUAGAUUGUGUUUAGUGCAUGUUGUGCAUGUGUGGGGAGCAGAGAAAGUCCUGAGUGAAUGAAGCCCUCCAAAAUCAGGGUUUCUUGGUUUUUUGUUUGUUUGUUUUUUUGUUUUGCUUUGGAUGAAUCCCAGGGUUUAACACACACUAGACAAGUACUCUUGCCAAUAAUGUGUAAUGGUGACAUGGGCACAGGCAGCCAUGC